AUUGAACGCUGGCGGCAGGCCUAACACAUGCAAGUCGAACGGUAACAGGAAGCAGCUUGCUGCUUCGCUGACGAGUGGCGGACGGGUGAGUAAUGUCUGGGAAGCUGCCUGAUGGAGGGGGAUAACUACUGGAAACGGUAGCUAAUACCGCAUAAUGUCGCAAGACCAAAGAGGGGGACCUUCGGGCCUCUUGCCAUCGGAUGUGCCCAGAUGGGAUUAGCUUGUUGGUGGGGUAACGGCUCACCAAGGCGACGAUCCCUAGCUGGUCUGAGAGGAUGACCAGCCACACUGGGACUGAGACACGGUCCAGACUCCUACGGGAGGCAGCAGUGGGGAAUAUUGCACAAUGGGCGCAAGCCUGAUGCAGCCAUGCCGCGUGUAUGAAGAAGGCCUUCGGGUUGUAAAGUACUUUCAGCGGGGAGGAAGGGAGUAAAGUUAAUACCUUUGCUCAUUGACGUUACCCGCAGAAGAAGCACCGGCUAGCUCCGUG
rnacentral:rRNA from 1 species